CACGUAGGGGGCAAGCGUUGUCCGGAUUUAUUGGGCGUAAAGAGCUCGUAGGUGGUUCGGUAAGUCGGGUGUGAAAACUCUGGGCUCAACUCAGAGACGCCACCCGAUACUGCUGUGACUUGAGUCUGGUAGGGGAGUGUGGAAUUCCCAGUGUAGCGGUGAAAUGCGCAGAUAUUGGGAGGAACACCAGUGGCGAAGGCGGCACUCUGGGCCAGUACUGACACUGAGGAGCGAAAAGCGUGGGUAGCGAACAGG
rnacentral:rRNA from 1 species